UACGAAGGGGGCUAGCGUUGUUCGGAAUCACUGGGCGUAAAGGGCGCGUAGGCGGCUUUAUAAGUCGGGGGUGAAAGCCUGUGGCUCAACCACAGAAUUGCCUUCGAUACUGUAGAGCUUGAGACCGGAAGAGGUAAGUGGAACUGCGAGUGUAGAGGUGAAAUUCGUAGAUAUUCGCAAGAACACCAGUGGCGAAGGCGGCUUACUGGUCCGGUUCUGACGCUGAGGCGCGAAAGCGUGGGUAGCGAACAGG
rnacentral:rRNA from 1 species